rnacentral:rRNA from 1 species
UACGUAAGGACCGAGCGUUGUCCGGAAUCAUUGGGCGUAAAGGGGACGUAGGCGGGUAUUUAAGUUAGAAGUGAAAGGCUAUAGCUUAACUAUAGUAAGCAUGUGAAACUGAAUACAUUGAGAGAUGGAAGGGAAAGUGGAAGUCCUAGUGUAGCGGUGGAAUGCGCAGAUAUUAGGAAGAACACCGGUGGCGAAGGCGACUUUCUGG